UACGGGGGGGGUAAGCGUUGUUCGGAAUUACUGGGCGUAAAGGGCUCGUAGGCGGCCAACUAAGUCAGACGUGAAAUCCCUCAGCUUAACUGGGGAACUGCGUCUGAUACUGGAUGGCUUGGAUUCGGGAGAGGAAUGCGGAAUUCCAGGUGUAGCGGUGAAAUGCGUAGAUAUCUGGAGGAACACCGAUUGCGUAGGCAGCUUACUAGGCUGUAACUGACGCUGAGGCACGAAAGCGUGGGGAGCGAACAGG
rnacentral:rRNA from 1 species